rnacentral:rRNA from 1 species
AUACGGAGGGUGCAAGCGUUACUCGGAAUCACUGGGCGUAAAGCGCGCGCAGGCGGGCUGAUAAGUUGGAUGUGAAAGCCUACGGCUCAACCGUAGAACUGCAUCCAAAACUGUCAGUCUAGAGUGUGGGAGAGGAAGAUGGAAUUAGUUGUGUAGGGGUAAAAUCCGUAGAGAUAACUAGGAAUACCAAAAGCGAAGGCAAUCUUCUGGAACACUACUGACGCUGAGGCGCGAAGGCGUGGGGAGCAAACAGGAUUAGAAACCCGGGUAGUCC